CAAGUCCAACAAACCCUAUUGAACUUCAAUACUUCCUUGUCAAACAAGCGAGCGUUAAUGUGCCAUUUUUUUAUGAUGCUAUGAAACUAAUUAAGCUGGAGGAUCAUUUUAGAUGAUGCCAACCUGACAAAAAGAUAAAGAAAAAUAAAAAUCUUCCUUAACAGUUCCAUGUUUUACAGACCACAUACGUUGUAUUAAGCUAGGAGCUCUGAAGUGUGUCAACCUGACAGUCAGUCUGUCUUAACUAAACAAUUCAGGCUCCUCUCGGAAGAGCUCUACUAGCAGAGCUACGUGACUGACCAACUCAGGCUCCUCGGAAGAGCUCUACUAACAGAGCUACGUAACUGACCAACUCAGGCUCCUCGGAAGACCUCUACUAGCAGAUUUACGUAACUGACCAACUCAGGCUCCUCGGAAGAGCUCUACUAGCAGAGCUACGUAACUGACCAACUCAGGCUCCUCGGAAGAGCUCUACUAACAGAGCUACGUAACUGACCAACUCAGGCUCCUCGGAAGAGCUCUACUAACAGAGCUACGUAACUGACCAACUCAGGCUCCUCGGAAGAGCUCUACUAACAGAGCUACGUAACUGACCAACUCAGGCUCCUCGGAAAAGCUCUACUAACAGAGCAACGUAACUGACCAACUCAGGCUCCUCGGAAGAGCUCUACUAACAGAGCUACGUAACUGACCAACUCAGGCUCCUCGGAAGACCUCUACUAGCAGAUUUACGUAACUGACCAACUCAGGCUCCUCGGAAGAGCUCUACUAGCAGAGCUACGUAACUGACCAACUCAGGCUCCUCGGAAGAGCUCUACUAACAGAGCUACGUAACUGACCAACUCAGGCUCCUCGGAAUAGCUCUACUAACAGAGCUACGUAACUGACCAACUCAGGCUCCUCGGAAGAGCUCUACUAACAGAGCUACGUAACUGACCAACUCAGGCUCCUCAGAAGAGCUCUACUAGCAGAGCUACGUAACUGACCAACUCAGGCUCCUCGGAAGACCUCUACUAGCAGAUUUACGUAACUGACCAACUCAGGCUCCUCGGAAGAGCUCUACUAACAGAGCUACGUAACUGACCAACUCAGGCUCCUCCUAAGAGCUCUACUAGCAGAGCUACGUAACUGACCAACUCAUGCUCCUCGGAAAAGCUCUACUAGCAGAUCUACAUAACUGACCAACCAACGUGAGUGUAAAAAGUAAAGUUCCCCUUCAGGAACUUCUGGUCUAUAGGGAAGAUGAUGUAAAGGGCAUCUGUUUCGGUGGCCUGCGGUUAACUAGGGUGACAUUUUGGCCAGCACAACGAUCAGCCGCCUUUUCUUUUCCCCAACUAAUGUAAGGUACCCAUUAGAGCUGGGUGGACUCAGAGGCGCCCGAAGAUCCCAAGAUUUAAAAAUCCCAGUCUUCACCAGGAUUCGAACCCCGAACCCCGGUUUGGAAACCAAGCGCUUUACCGCUCAGUAACCGCCCCUCCAACGUGGGUACUUUUGUCUGUAAAAAUUCAGCUAAAAUCCCUCUUAAAAAAAGGAGGGGGGGGUUAUAUCUUGAAUGAAUCAACUAGAUCUAGCAAUUGAAUGAUUUUUUUUCUAACUAAAGAUAAUGAACAAAAGUAAAAUAUCUGUUGAAAAGGGCAAACUGAAGUAGUUAUAAUAACAAAUGUUAAAUGUAUAGUCUGAUGUUGUUAUUAUUUACAAUAUAAGUCUUCACAAUGACAUGCACCGCACACAGGCGUGCAGAGUGACCUGCACAUUCACCUGAACAUAUUAUUUCGAUGUAGGUUCUUGUAUACUGUACAUAACUCUUAACUCUUAGCGUACUAACUAUUCGAAUUGUAUUAAACCUUUUUUAAA